AGAGAGAAUCCCCACAGCAGCGUGCUAGCCGUUGAUUCUCAGACGGUUCACCGAGAGAAAUUCGCUCUCGCACUAGUGUCUAUUCUAUGUUAAAUGUACCAUGCCGGUUUUUUUGUUGUUGCGAUGAUUUCCGAUUCUCUUUGAUGGCACUGAUUUAAUCGUGGAAGAGUUGCGAGUGAGCAUUCUUUGAUACGAUAAAAGUCAUCCUUGGUGAUUGGUGUUUAUAAUAGAGACAUUCAAAAACGUUUGUGCGAUGAAGAUGAUCUCACUACUGCUAGGGCAGAGAAAUUGAUAAUGAAUCAUGAAUUUUCUUAUAAUAGAUCAAGUGUAACAUAUUGAAAGAGGAUGAUUAUCGUGACACAUCAUUAAUUGCUCAUUUGGGUAGAAAAGAGAUUCGAUCUCGUUCAAGAGUUGAUCGCCUGUGGAGAUGAAGAAAUAAAUACAUUCAAAAUAUCCCAUUCUUCCAGAAAUUGUUUGGAAUUGGAUUGUGAAUUGAAAGAAAAAAAUCAAUUAGAAAAUAUUGCGUUUGUGGAGGAAGAUAACAUCCAGAAAUCGGAAGCUUUUGAUAAUCCGGACUCAUUUUCACAUGACUUAAAUAUAUCCGUUGGAACUGGAAAUGAAAUGUUUUUUGUAGCCCAACUCAUCCUUCUCUUCUAUGGAACGGUAUUGUAUACGAUGAACGAUUCCUCGGACUGCAGAAAACGCCAAAAAUGUCCUACAGUGCUGGUCAACCACUACUACACCACAACCGGAAGAAACAUGAAAAACCCAACCAGAAAACGCAAAAACAAGCUGUGCAUAAAUAUGAAUUGUUAAUUACAAGAUUUAUUGUUCAUCGGGUCCCACCCUCUUGAUACUCCUUUACUAACCCUAGGGGAGUAGGCCACCCCUUAAUAUGGCUUCCCUUCCAUCUCUUUCUAACAACAAGACCAACGGCCACGUUAAGCUAACCGCAAUGAACCAAAUAAAAGCAUUUUAUUUAAAAAAAAGUACCUUCCAACAUCCUAAAUGGAAGCGGACAUCAUGACCAAGCCUCUGGAUCGGAUCAAAUUGGAAAGACAUCGAAACGCGAUGGGGAUCAAGUCCACUGGCGAUACCGUCUUCGUUAAGGAGGAGUGUUUGACUCUCGUCGUUUAUCUUUUACAACAAAAACAGGAUCGUUUUAUCUCAGUGUAUUUUACAGUUGCCUCAUAGCAUAACUCAUUAUAUUAUUUCAUUUAAGCUCAUAGUCUUGUUCACACACAACUAUACUAAUCUCUGUACAUCAUU